rnacentral:snRNA from 1 species
GGAAGAGUUAUCUUUUCUG